UUGUGCUGGUGGUCAGUGGAUGAGAAAGCCAAGGCUCAGAGAGGUGAAGACAUUUGCACCAAGACACACAGCUGGCGUGCGGCAGGUCCAAGCUACACGCAGACAACAGUCCCAUCUUGAAGACUGUUCCCUCUGCACCCCACCCCAGGGGUCCCUGGCACACAGAUUCUACCCCUGAGAGGGGCAAUUCCCUGGGAGACGCCAGAGCAUCCCUUUAAGAAGAAAUGACUCUUGCCGACACAUGCUCCCAAUGACCGACUUACAUCAAUGAAGGAGAAGUCGUCCACCCUCUUCGCGGGGCAGGCAUCAGGCGGGGGCAGCCCCUCCAUCCCAUCGGUGGAUUCCAAAUCGGUGCUGGAUCGGUCUAUGCUGGUGCUUCGCUGGUCCCUGGAGCAGCUGAGCUGCUCCCCGGCUGAGGUGGCCUCUGUCUGGGAGGACAGUGAGGACAAGCGGCUGCUGGGCAGCUGCUUCCGCGCUGACGUGGCACUGCUGUCCGGGGACGGGGACUCGGGAGCCAAACUAGCAGAAAGGAAGGAAGGGAGACAUAAUUGUGCAGGUGGCUACUGGAACAUUUUAAGUCACCCACAUCUCACAUCUGCGGCUCGAGUUGUAUUUCUGUUGGACUGCGCUGAUGUCGAUCAAAAAGCCAGCGGCAGUGGCCUGUGAGGGCAGGAGGCAGGGUGAUCUGCCCCGCUCCACCCACUCGUGCAUGCACUCAAUUCACGAUUUACUGAGCACUUACUGCGUGCCAGGCACUGCUGCACACCGUCACUAGGUCCUCUCCCCAAUCCUGCGAGGCUCGCCCUAUGAUCCUACUACAGCCACGAGGAUGCUACCAGGUAGCUGGCUGGAUUUGGCCACAGGCAGCUUGCUGAUCUCUGACCUAUACCCUUUGGACUCACAGCUACAAGAAAAUGGGGACUGUUCCCUCCAAUGCUAUACCCCAGCUCUUAGAAUGGUGCCUUGCUUAUGGUAGUUGUUGAAUAAAUAUUUGUUGAA